rnacentral:tRNA from 4 species
CGGGGCAUAGUGUAAUGGCAGCACGAGUCCUUUGGGAGGAUUUAGUCAGAGUUCGAAUCUCUGUGCCCCGACAA